rnacentral:rRNA from 1 species
GACGAACGCUGGCGGCGUGCCUAAUACAUGCAAGUUGAGCGCUGAAGGUUGGUACUUGUACCGACUGGAUGAGCAGCGAACGGGUGAGUAACGCGUGGGGAAUCUGCCUUUGAGCGGGGGACAACAUUUGGAAACGAAUGCUAAUACCGUAUAAAAACUUUAAACACAAGUUUUAAGUUUGAAAGAUGCAAUUGCAUCACUCAAAGAUGAUCCCGCGUUGUAUUAGCUAGUUGGUGAGGUAAAGGCUCACCAAGGCGAUGAUACGUAGCCGACCUGAGAGGGUGAUCGGCCACAUUGGGACUGAGACACGGCCCAAACUCCUACGGGAGGCAGCAGUAGGGAAUCUUCGGCAAUGGACGAAAGUCUGACCGAGCAACGCCGCGUGAGUGAAGAAGGUUUUCGGAUCGUAAAACUCUGUUGGUAGAGAAGAACGUUGGUGAGAGUGGAAAGCUCAUCAAGUGACGGUAACUACCCAGAAAGGGACGGCUAACUACGUG